UACGUAGGGUGCGAGCGUUAAUCGGAAUUACUGGGCGUAAAGCGUGCGCAGGCGGUGAUGUAAGACAGAUGUGAAAUCCCCGGGCUCAACCUGGGAACUGCAUUUGUGACUGCAUCGCUGGAGUGCGGCAGAGGGGGAUGGAAUUCCGCGUGUAGCAGUGAAAUGCGUAGAUAUGCGGAGGAACACCGAUGGCGAAGGCAAUCCCCUGGGCCUGCACUGACGCUCAUGCACGACAGCGUGGGGAUCAAACAGG
rnacentral:rRNA from 1 species